GACGAACGCUGGCGGCGUGCCUAACACAUGCAAGUCGAACGGAGAAAUUCAGCAAUGGAUUUCUUAGUGGCGAACGGGUGAGUAACGCGUCGAUAACCUGCCUCUAAGAUGGGGACAACAACUCGAAAGGGUUGCUAAUACCGAAUGUGAACAGUGUCUCGCAUGGGAUGCUGUUUGAAGGUGGCCUUUGAAUAUGCUACCGCUUAGAGAUGGGUCUGCGUCUGAUUAGCUAGUUGGAGGGGUAAUGGCCCACCAAGGCGACGAUCAGUAGCCGGUCUGAGAGGAUGAACGGCCACACUGGGACUGAGACACGGCCCAGACUCCUACGGGAGGCAGCAGUGGGGAAUCUUCCGCAAUGGACGAAAGUCUGACGGAGCAACGCCGCGUGAGUGAAGAAGGUUUUCGGAUCGUAAAGCUCUGUCUUCAGGGACGAAUGUGCAAGAUGUAACUAAUGUCUUGUAAUGACGGUACCUGAGGAGGAAGCCACGGCUAACUACGUGCCAGCCGCCGCGGUAAAAC
rnacentral:rRNA from 1 species